rnacentral:rRNA from 1 species
AAACAGCGAGCGCAGACCUGCUGGUAACGGUUGUUGCCACCAAUCUCCACCUGCUCGCCAGCGUGAACCCGUCGGCCAUUGUCAUCCAUGCGAAUGUUCAUGGUGGCCUUGCGACCGCAGGCGCAGAUCGUCUUGAUUUCCUCUAUAUCGUCGGCCAGGGUCAGCAACUGGGCUGACCCUGGAAAGGCGUUCCCCUGGAAGUCAGACCGCAAGCCAAAACAAAUGACUGGAAGGCCGCAAACGUUGGAGA